CGGAUUGUAGGCUGCAACUCGCCUACAUGAAGCUGGAAUCGCUAGUAAUCGCGGAUCAGCAUGCCGCGGUGAAUACGUUCCCGGGCCUUGUACACACCGCCCGUCACACCACGAGAGUUUGUAACACCCGAAGUCGGUGGGGUAACCUUUAUGGAGCCAGCCGCCUAAGGUGGGACAGAUGAUUGGGGUGAAGUCGUAACAAGGUAGCCGUAUCGGAAGGUGCGGCUGGAUCACCUCCUUUCUAAGGA
rnacentral:rRNA from 1 species